rfam:Salmo salar isolate Sally breed double haploid chromosome ssa20, whole genome shotgun sequence.
UGCACGCACUACUGUAAGUCUCUGGAUAAGAGCGUCUGCUAAAUGACUCAAA